GUGCAGCAGGCGCGAAACCUUCGCAAUGCGGGAAACCGCGACGAGGGGACUCCCAGUGCCUACGCUCAGCGUAGGCUGUUCCCGAGCCUAGAAAGCUCGGGGAGUAAGGGCUGGGUAAGACGGGUGCCAGCCGCCGCGGUAAUACCCGCAGCCCGAGUGGUGGCCACUAUUAUUGGGCCUAAAGCGUCCGUAGCCGGCCCGGUAAAUGCCUGGGUAAAUCGUGAGGCCUAACCUCACGAAUUCCGGGUAGACUGCCGGGCUAGGGACCGGAGGAGGGAGAGGGUACUCCAGGGGUAGGGGUGAAAUCCUGUAAUCCCUGGAGGACCACCGGUGGCGAAGGCGCUCUCCUAGGACGGGUCCGACGGUGA
rnacentral:rRNA from 1 species